GUCGUGAGAUGUUGGGUUAAGUCCCGCAACGAGCGCAACCCUUGUCAUUAGUUGCUACAUUUAGUUGGGCACUCUAAUGAGACUGCCGGUGACAAACCGGAGGAAGGUGGGGAUGACGUCAAGUCCUCAUGGCCCUUAUGGGUAGGGCCUCACACGUAAUACAAUGGCCGGUACAGAGGGCUGCCAACCCGCGAGGGGGAGCUAAUCUCAGAAAGCCGGUCGUAGUCCGGAUUGUUCUCUGCAACUCGAGAGCAUGAAGUUGGAAUCGCUAGUAAUCGCGGAUCAGCAUGUCGCGGUGAAUACGUUCCCGGGUCUUGUACACACCGCCCGUCACACCAUGGGAGUGGGUUCCACCAGAAGUAGGUAGCCUAACCGCAAGGAGGGCGCUUACCACGGUGAGAUUCAUGACUGGGGUGAAGUCGUAACAAGGUAGCCGUAGGGGAACCUGCGGCUGGAUCACCUCCUUUCUAGAGUACGUUCCAGGGCCAAGUGCUCACUCUUAUCGGUUGUUUACAGCAGGGGCUAGAGACUAGAGGCUAGGGCCUAGGGAAAUGCAAGAACCCCUGACCCCUAGACCCUGACCCCUAGGCCCUAAACCACGGGUCUGUAGCUCAGCUGGUUAGAGCACACGCUUGAUAAGCGUGGGGUCGAUGGUUCAAAUCCAUCCAGGCCCAGCACUCAAUCGGGGGUGUAGCUCAGUUGGGAGAGCGCAUGCUUUGCAAGCAUGAGGUCAUCGGUUCGAUCCCGUUCACCUCCACCAGCGUCCAAUGUUCAGAGUGCAGAGUUGAGUGUUGAGAGUAUGUCGAUUAUCUCUCAACCCUGAACUCUCAACUCUCAACGAGUCGAGUGGCUGUAUCGCUCUUUAACAAAACGGAAGAAGUAAAGCGUUUCGGUUCCGAAGGUCUGGAACCGAAACACUGGGUUUGAUUGUAUCGCCGCGUUCGACAAACAAAAGGGUCGGAUGCGGUACAAGCGCGUUAACUGCCUUGUAACCAGAGCUUCGAAGUCACUCGAGGAUUCAAGGUUAUAGGGUCAAGCGAACAAGUGCAUGUGGUGGAUGCCUUGGCGAUCACAGGCGAUGAAGGACGUAGUAGCUUGCGUUAGGCUGCGGGGAGCUGGCAAACGAGCUUUGAUCCGCAGAUGU
rnacentral:sRNA from 1 species